UCAUCAGUUUAUGUCCUUGACAUAGCGUUAUUCCUUCUUGAUCAACUGGGCCGACAUUGAAAGCUUCAUGGAUACAAACGAAUACAUCUUAAAUAAGUCCAAGCAGGAUGUGGUGACCCAAAAGAGUCAGGUGGUUACUUCACAUUCUAGUCCCUUAUGGAGUGCGCAUUUUGGGCGGAAGUCUCAGGGAACAAGAUUAGCUAGCUAGCUACAUUACCUUCACAACCAAGAUGACAUAGAAGAACAGCUGAAUAAAUAAUGACCAAGCCAAAAAUUACUCAGUGCCCCACUGCCCUGCCCUCAAUCCACUGGCCAGGAAAACAUGCCAGGCAUUCAGGCUGGGCAUUGGGCGGUCAAUACGGUCAAGCAUCGUAAUUCGUCCAGGUUAAGCGAGCCCAGGUUGUGGUGCAGGAGUUGCAUGAACUGGGUUAUAAACCCUUCCUGCUAAUGGGGAAGGAGACCAGGAAGGCCAAUCAGCUGUGGGCUGCUGACAUUGUCACAACCUUGGGUCCUGUUGAAGAGGGCCCACACAAAUAAGUUUGAAAGAAGAUGGUCUAUCUCUAUGAGUACCUUCUUAAAAGUAAUUCAGAUUCUGUAUAUUGCAAUUAAAGAAAUCAAGAGUUUGACACCCUGCUUGGAAAAGAUUAAGGUAUCAAUUUCAUUUGUGUAGUUCUGGGCUGAUUCCUCACCGUUCUCAUGAUCAUUGCAACUCCACGAGGUGAGAUCUUGC